UACGGGGGGAGCAAGCGUUGUUCGGAUUUACUGGGCGUAAAGGGCGCGUAGGCGGCCAGCACAAGUCAGUUGUGAAAUCUCCGAGCUUAACUCGGAAAGGUCAACUGAUACUGUGCGGCUAGAGUGCGGAAGGGGCAACUGGAAUUCCUGGUGUAGCGGUGGAAUGCGCAGAUAUCAGGAGGAACACCGGUGGCGAAGGCGGGUCUCUGGGCAAUUCCUGACGCUGAGGCGCGAAAGCGUGGGGAGCAAACGGG
rnacentral:rRNA from 1 species